AGUUUCCUCAGUUGUGCAAUGAAGGGGAGGGUUCCAUGACCUCUGAGGCAGCCCGGCUCUCCUGUCCACGGGCUGCUACCACCUUGGAGGGCGCGAGGUUUGCUUCCGGUGUUCGGGGCCUUUCCCAGUCACUGCCUCACCAGGACACCCUCACCCGUGUCAGGCUGGGAAAGGGCUUUCUUAACCUUGUCAUGCCUUGCUGUGGCUUGUCGUUGGUGUAAUCUGUGAGGGCUUUUGUAGCUCUGCGUAAUCAUCAGGGUGAACGGGAGGUACUAGAGGACAGGCCAGACAGCCUGGAAUGACACAACUCAGGGUGACACCAACAGGUCCCACUGGCUACUUUGUCACCUCCUUUUCUUCACUCCCCCCUCUGGAGUUACUAAUUUCCACUUUGUGACCCUCCAAAGAUGCAUUCCACCCAACUUUCCCAUUGAACUAGUGGGGAAAUGGUACUUUCUGUAUCCAAAUCUUAGCUGAAACCAGAAUUGGGGUUAUAUUGACUAAAAGAUCAUUUGGGGCCACUUCUUUUCAUUUGUAUUUAUUAGGCCCCUCCUAGGUGGUAAUGGGCCAGGUAGAGUGAGAGUACAGUAGAAACCCAAGACGAAAUUAUCCAGGAAGGUCAACCUUCAUUUUACAGAUGGAGACACGAUAGUUCAGAGAUG
rnacentral:lncRNA from 1 species